rnacentral:rRNA from 1 species
ACUAUUCUAAAUUAAUUUAACCCAGGGUAGUAAAGUUAAAACCUAAAAAAUUUGGCGGUGAUUUAAAUUACCAGAGGAACUUGUCCUGUAAUUGAUAAUCCCCACUAUAACUUACUUUAUUUAAAGCUUAUAUACCGUCGUCACCAGGGUAUUUUGGGAAUUAUAUUCAAGAUAUAAAAUUAUAAAAUGUCAGAUCAAGGUGUAGCUGAUAAUAAAGAAGAGAUGAGUUACAAUAAAAAUAUUUAAACGGAUUAAAAUGUAAAAUUAAUGAAGGUGGAUUUGAGUGUAAAUUUUAAUAGACUUAAAAUUGAUAAAAUACCUAAAUCA